GGGGUAUAGCUCAGUGGUCGAGCAUUCGACUGCACAUCGAGGGGGUCCCCCGGGUUUAAACCCCGGGUGCCCCC